GUAAAAACAGAAUGAAUUGAUUGUGGAACAAAUACAAUGAGUGCUACACCUCCUCCCUCACUACUACUCGGGGCCCCAUCAGACCUUCCAGUUUCCAUUGAAACAGCAAUUUCAACUGUUCGCUUAAAGAAGGGAUAUGGCAAAUGAAACACAGAUACGCUAUCACAAACAAGAGAAAAUCUGCAGAUGCUGGAAAUCCA